UACGUAGGGGGCGAGCGUUGUCCGGAUUUAUUGGGCGUAAAGCGCGUGUAGGCGGCCCGGAAAGUCGGAUGUGAAAGCCCUGGGCUUAACCUAGGAAGUGCAUUCGAAACUGCUGGGCUUGAGUUCUGGAGAGGAAGGCGGAAUUCUCGGUGUAGAGGUGAAAUUCGUAGAUAUCGAGAGGAACACCGGUGGCGAAGGCGGCCUUCUGGACAGUGACUGACGCUGAGACGCGAAAGCGUGGGGAGCAAACAGGG
rnacentral:rRNA from 1 species